AAGCCGCUCUAACACGCUUCUCUGAGCCUCCUUCGUCUCCUUCGCCUCUGCUGGUCCCGUCCAGUUCUCCUUCGCCUCCGCUGAUCCCAUCAAACUCCUUCUUUG